rnacentral:rRNA from 1 species
AUGCCCUACGGGACGCAGCAGUGGGGGAUAUUGCACAAUGGGGGAAACCCUGAUGCAGCGACGCCGCGUGGGCGAAGAAGUAUUUCGGUAUGUAAAGCCCUAUCAGCAGGGAAGAAGAAAUGACGGUACCUGAGUAAGAAGCACCGGCUAAAUACGUGCCAGCGGCCACGGUAAUACGUAUGGUGCAAGCGUUAUCCGGAUUUACUGGGUGUAAAGGGAGCGCAGGCGGCACGGCAAGCGUGAUGUGAAAGCGCGCGGCCCAACCGCGGGACUGCAUUGGGUACUCCCGGGCUGAAGUGCCGGAG